GGAACGAAUAGUGAGUUCCAGAAUGAAAAGCUCACAUGCCUUGGCAAACAAAAUGGGUGCUUCAGCGGAGAUCAUACGGACAUCUUCGUCAGCUUUCAUGAUCUUCUUGAUUCGGGCAAGGGGAAGUUGAUGGUUCUUAAAAUCGUUAACCUGUUCGAUUUCCUUGCGUUGGUAGGUCCAAAACACCUGUAACUGCUGCUGCUGUUGCUGAAGGAGAUGGUGGUAAGGUGGCUGAGUCGGGUACCCAGCGGACUGAGCCGCUGCAGCCGCCGCCGCUGCAUUCGCCGCCGAUUGCUGAGGGCUGUUUUCCAUGGCUUUUUAUGGACAAAGGGACAAUUUUUUU
rnacentral:misc_RNA from 1 species